CAGGAAUUAAGCAAGUGACUGUCUUUAUGAGUGGGUAAUGAUGAAUCACUGACUCUCUAGAUUCAUUUAUAAAAGAAAAAUUUAUU